rnacentral:rRNA from 1 species
UACGUAGGGUGCAAGCGUUGUCCGGAAUUAUUGGGCGUAAAGAGCUCGUAGGCGGUCUGUCGCGUCGGCUGUGAAAACCUGGGGCUCAACCCCGGGCCUGCAGCCGAUACGGGCAGACUAGAAUUCGGUAGGGGAGACUGGAAUUCCUGGUGUAGCGGUGAAAUGCGCAGAUAUCAGGAGGAACACCGAUGGCGAAGGCAGGUCUCUGGGCCGAUACUGACGCUGAGGAGCGAAAGCGUGGGGAGCGAACAGG